GGUAACAUUUAGCCCGUGAAUUCCCCAGAACGUGGACUUCACCGGGUGGGAGCAUUGCCUAUGCUCAGUGACACUAUGUUGCUCGUGGCGUGUAAGAGUUUUGAGCUCUUGAUGCUUCCGGGAUUUAGUUGUUCGUUUGCUGAUGUUUCCCUUGCCCAGAGAGAACAAUAGCACUUAAAAGUUACAUACCGCUUUCCAGCCCUCUCUAAGCGGUUUUACAGAGUCGGCAUAUUGUCCCCAACAAUUUGGGUCCUCAUUUUAGCCACCUCGGAAGGAUGGAAGGCUGAGUCAAAUUGAAGCCAGCAGAAGUAGCCUGCAGUAGUACUGCACUAACCACUGCGCCACCGUGGCUCAUAAGGAUUCUACAAGACCAUAUAAGAAGGAUUUCAAAUUCAAAAUGUCAUGAGAGCCACAUGAAGACCACCCUGGGGGCCAAAAUACCAACCUCCUCACUGAUAAAAAAACAUCUCUAAUGAGUCAGAUAUGAAAGGCAUCACAGCAUAUCACCAAAUGUAACUUUAUAAAUAAAAAAAUCCACUGCAAAGUAGAACCACGGUCCCAUCCUUCACCCAUCAUUUCUAGUCUCUAACCUCCAAAAAUUUGUAGUCGUGAAACGAUAUUCAAUUUUCCAAGUGCAUAACCAGUCACGCUCUGUCACAGGGGUCUCCAACCUUGGCAACUUUAAGCCUGAUGGACUUCAACUCCCAAAAUUCCACAGCCAGCUUUGCUGGCUAUGGAAUUCUGGGAGUUGAAGUCCGCCAGGCUUAAAGUUGCCAAGGUUGGAGACCUCUGCUCUAUAAUGCCAUAUGCCAUUGGCAGUCAGCUCAUAUUUGAUUGAUUGCAGUGUCCUGCAGUCACAUGAUCAGGUUUUGACUUUUUUGCCUUUUCCUGCAAAAAGGCCCAAUUGGAUUCAGAUUUACAACCAUAUUUGAUUCACUUAACGGUGAUACAGAUAAUGACCAUUGCAAAAAAAGUCAUAAAAUCAAGUGCAACCACAUAUUUACUCAAUUUAUGACUGAUAUAAUUUAUAACCAAAAUUCCAGGCUCAUUGUGGUCAUAAGGUAAGGACUACCUGUAGUAAAAUGAUCUGAAGAAUUCUUUGACGCAACUGAGACCAACAUUUGAGCUGCUACUAUAAAUAUCUAUUGAUAUUUAAACAGCAAUCCUUUGCACAUUCCUUUAUUCCCCGUAUUCAUUGCAUUUCUAAUUCUUGGUAAAAAGAUCUCCAGAAACAUUAUAGAAUUUAAUUCUGAGAAAAUAAACUUAGGUGAUCUUUAAUCUGGAUGUCACUGAACAUAGUAAAUACAGCAUGCUACUGAGUGUUUGAAAGUCAUUACUGUUACAUGUUACCUCUUCAUCUACAUUGUAUGUCAAAGGAUCAAAGGAAGACUCAUUCAAACUCUUUGAUCACUGGUGCUUGUCGAACGACGUAGUUUUCUGCAAGUAGACUGCUUGGCAAAGUCAAGUCCUUGAUUAUCAAACCAAUGAUGCUCUAUUAGUUGCUUGAUGCUUGCUGUUCUUUCAUGAACUGCAAUUCUUGUUUGUAAUCUUGUAAGCUCAGAUUCCUAUAGUGCAACACAAAUUUAAAACUUUGUAGAAAUUAGGUGAUCAGGGAUCAUCUUAACAAAAGCUACUUGUUUAACAAAAAUAUUGAUAGUAUUUCUGAUUAAUAAAAAUGUUAUGAACAACAUACAUGGCUUGGUUAUUGUUAUUAAACAAAGCAUCUCCAAUACUGUUUCUAUAGAUUAUUAAGUAAUUAUCUGAAAUAAUAUUUGAAUAACAGGAGAUAGUGAUGACAGAGUGAAGGAAAAAAAUUUGCUAGAGACCAAGUGAGAUUAAAAGGCAACAAAUAAAUUGGGAACUUCUAUCAGGCAGCUUUACUAUAGAAGAAGCAGUUUUUCUCAAUCUUUUUACCCUGUAAUAGCAGUUGAUAUAAUCUUCAGGUCUCAUAAAACCCUUGUAUAAAAUGCAAAAAAAUAUAAAAGCUACCUAAUAUAAUUCAGGCCAGAAUGUUAAGUUGUGACAAAUAAAAAUUCCCAUCACUAGCAUACAAUAUGCAAAGUUCAAAAAAUGGUUUUUUUCAAUCACAAUAUCUUGAAAGUACCCUUAACAACCUCUUGCAGAACUCUCAGAUUCAAUGGAAUUCCAGUUGAAAAAGGCUUCUUUACAGAAUACUCUCAGCAAAAGAUCUUAAAGGCUUCAUUUGGAUUGGCAUUCAUAAGUUUUUUGAAUAAUAGUUAAUUCCAAACUAAACUUGAAGCAGACUGCAUCAACAAAAUUAUAGUUUUCAAAUCACAGUUUCACUUUAUUCUGCUUUACUCCAAGUGCUGGGGACAAUUCUCAGCAUCAUACUUCAAAAAACAUUCUUUAAACAGGAAAACCAAUUUGAUAUUAGAAUCAGACUCAAUUAAGUCUUUACUAGAUGUCUUCAAGAAGAGCCUAAGUAGCCAUCUACUGAGGCUGCACUAAUUUGGAUUCUUGCACUGAGUAAGAGAUUGGACAUGCUGACAAACUCUCCAUAAUUGAAAGAACUGGCUUCCACUACCCAGUCUAAUUAUUUCUGACUGUUGUUUUAUAUAUGAAGUGAGAUAGGCUCUCAGAGCUCAAAAGAGAAGAGAUGGGCUCAGCAAACAUGUUAUGACAAUUCUUUCUUAAUUUUAGAGAAGACGAUUCCUUUGUGGUUCAAAAUCCAUGUAUGUAUGUAAAAAUAGCAACCUGAAAGAAGCAAGCCACGUGUUGUCUUUUUGCCAUUAAAUUCCCUAACAUCAUAAAUGCAGAUUUCAUUUUUCUGCUAAGUUUGGCCUCCCAAGAUCCAAAACACAGUUCAUAAAGAUUAACACUAUCAACCAUCCCCUUCAACAAUACCUUAUAAUGUUUUUUUUUGUCCACCUCUCUCUUCAGCCAAGGUUUUCAUACUAACUAUGAAUGAGUAACAUCCAGAGUACAAAUUCCAGUGUUAACAGACAUGUAUUCCAUGUACCUAUAAUAUGAACUGAGAUGACAACCUUAUAUCUAAUAU